GUCCACGCCGUAAACGUUGGGCACUAGGUGUGGGUUCCAACCAACGGAAUCCGUGCCGUAGCUAACGCAUUAAGUGCCCCGCCUGGGUAGUACGGCCGCAAGGCUAAAACUCAAAGGAAUUGACGGGGGCCCGCACAAGCUGCUGAGCAUGUUGCUUAAUUCGAGGCAACGCGAAGAACCUUACCUGGGUUUGACAUGUAGGGAAAAGCCGUAGAGAUACGGUGUCCUUCGGGGCCCGUACACAGGUGGUGCAUGGCUGUCGU
rnacentral:rRNA from 1 species